rnacentral:rRNA from 1 species
GCGUAGGGUGCGUAGGCGGAUAGUACGAAAUAGAGUAAAAGACUGAGGAUGACCCUCUUUAAUCUGUAUUUAUCGACUAUCUGAGUUCUAAGGGUGUGGUAUUGAAUUCUAGAAGUAAGGGUGAAAUUAUUGAUAUUGGAAGACAUUCGAAGGCGAAAGCGAUCAACAACUUAGAUCUGACGCUAGGCACUAAAGUAUGGGUAUAAAGAGGAUUAGAGACCUUGUAGUCCAUACCUUAAACAAUGAGUGUUCAACGUCCUUUAGUAUUUCAAGAUAUUCUUAAUUUAUUUUAAUUGAGUGUAUCGACGUCAGGAGCUAAAGGGGGUUUAAAGCUAACGCGUGAAACACCGCCUGGGGAAUGUGGCCGCAAGGUCUAAACUCAAAGGAAUUGACGGAGGCUUAUACAAGG